GCCGGGGUACCCUAGCCAGGUAAGGGGCAGGCCUGGAGAGCCUGUGGCCCAUGGGGCCUCGUGGGUUCAAAUCCCACCCCCGGCGCCA
rnacentral:tRNA from 1 species